rnacentral:rRNA from 1 species
GUGUACUCUCCCAUGUUGCUUCCCCAGACCCCUGGCCACUGCUGCCAGUCCUAUGCCUUAAUUGGUUUCAGGGUUGAGAUGUCUGGGGAAGGGCCCAAUAUCAAACAUUUGAACAAAUUAGAUGUCUGAGAAGGCCAUGUGGCCUAACAUGUAAACUUGUUAAAACUUUCAACAACGGAUCUCUUGGCUCUCGCAUCGAUGAAGAACGCAGCGAAAUGCGAUAAGUAAUGUGAAUUGCAGAAUUCAGUGAAUCAUCGAAUCUUUGAACGCACAUUGCGCCCUUUGGUAUUCCUUAGGGCAUGCCUGUUCGAGCGUCACUAAAAACCCCCUCACACAUAAUGUGGUAUUGGUAGAAGUGGAUAGUACUAACACUACUUUGUCUUACUCUGCUCAAAUGAAUAGGCCAGAGAAGUGGACCAUGGUAAUAGACUCGAGGAGUGUUUUAAAAUGCUAAAUUANUCUUAACCGAGUCAUGUUCUGAGCUACUGGACCCCCCC